CCUACGGGAGGCAGCAGUGAGGAAUAUUGGUCAAUGGGCGAGAGCCUGAACCAGCCAAGUCGCGUGAAGGAUGACGGCCCUACGGGUUGUAAACUUCUUUUGUCAGGGCGCAAUUGGGUCCAUUCGUGGGCUUAGCGAGAGUACCUGAAGAAAAAGCAUCGGCUAACUCCGUGCCAGCAGCCGCGGUAAUACGUAGGUUGCGAGCGUUAUCCGGAGUUGUUGGGUUUAAUGGGUGCGUAGGCGGAAUAUCAAGUCAGCGGGAAAAAUUCGGGGCUCAACCCCGUCGUGCAGUUGAAACUGAUGUUCUUGAGUGGGCGAGAAGUAUGCGGAAUGCGUGGUGUAGCGGUGAAAUGCAUAGAUAUCACGAAGAACUCCGAUUGCGAAGGCAGCAUACCGGCGACCAACUGACGCUGAAGCACGAAAGCGUGGGUAUCGAACAGGAUUAGAUACCCUAGUAGUC
rnacentral:rRNA from 1 species